GUGGCCAGAGAGGGGCAGACGUGAUUACAGAUGAAAGUAGAGGAAAGUGGUGAGCAGGGGCGGAGAGAGGAAAAGCCAGACAUAUGCAAUCGUUCUUCCAAAGGAUUUUAGAAGAGAUCAUUUAUUUGAAGUACUCCUGACAUGUUGAUGGAGCAACUCAAUCUUUUGCCAGUGAACGUUUAGCCUUUUGUUUUUCAUUUAUAGAUAUAUUUGAAUAUAUACUUAGGACAUGUAAUAACUAUGGAACUUCACUACAAACACAGCACUGAGGACAGACACGUUAACUUGAUGUGCACCUGGUGACUCAUUCGUCUUGUGGCUGCCUCUGGAUUCGUGAGUUUGGUGCCUAGAAAGAAAUAACCAACAAAUCAAAGUCUAUUUCUUUGAUGCACAUGUUGGCACCCUUUGAAAGAUCCAGAAAUCCACAUAUUGAACAUGAAUCUAGGGCUGCGGUUGCUGCAAAGGUAUCUUCCACAACUUGAUUUUCUAUAAUAUCAAUUACUCAGUCUUAUGCAGAUCCUGGAAGAUAUCAACUCCUAGGGCUAGUGCAGCAUCUUAUUCACCUUGGCAUCUACCACUGCAUGGAGCACAGCACCUAUCACCUAGUAGCAGAAAUCAGCAAUGCCAGCUUGAGAGCAAACUGAUGAGUUCUACGCAACGGAGCAAAGAGUCGUUGGCUGGAGUCUUGUAAAUCAGCGGAAGACCAGUGACCGAAUAGAUUCGUAUUAUUUUCCUGGAGUUACCCCCUUCUUUGACUCUCAGCUUUAAAUUUCAGAAGAGAGAAAAGAGGAAGAAAGUGGCAGAGCCUGGUGAGAGGAUACUAGAGAACAUGUCCUUGCUUCACAAUUUGGUUGCCAUAUAAACGUGAAUUGAGUAGAGCUUCCUGAGGUUGCACAGAGGGCUAAACUUCUGCUAGGACCAUGGGAAAAGCCUAGAGGGGCCAAUGGCCAAGGGAUGACCACUUCCAUAGAGGAAACACUCUGACCAGGCCCCACUAGGCACAAGACCCCCUUCUCCAGUGCUGUGUGGAGGUUGGAUUUGAAGAAGAGAAAGCUGGGAGCAAGAGACCAGUAGAGCUGUUGCCGUGGUACAGGCAGAGGCAACAGAAUAACAGGAAUCAAUAUAAACAACCUAAGUGGAAUACCUCGGAAAGAAAGAAAUAUUAUUUUUGCUGAUGCACAAGUUUUAUUCUGAAAAAUCAUGAAGGUCUCCAUUAGGAAAUCAUUCUUCCUUGGCAUUGUGUUGCAUGCUCAACAAAUAGAAGAUGGCUUUCUGGGUUGUGGAAAUUUCUGCCACCUCCUUCUACCAUAUUGGAACUGGGAGGAUUUCUGGAAUCAUCAGGUUCCACCCGGUGCUUAGAGGGAAUAUGGCUCCAUUAUCACCAUCUCCCAAGCCUGAAACCUGGAAGUCAUCACCAUUCACUUACAACUCUCUACCCAACUAUCAAUAGCUCACCAAGUACUGCAGAGCCUAUCGCCAAGUAUUUGAUCACUAUCGUCACCACUGCCAUAAUUCCCAAAUCAUCAUCUCUGGACUGCAAUCGCUUCCCAGGGUUAAGCUUGGAUUCCUGGAUUUUAUGACUUUUAAGAAAUGUACCUGGAUCCCUCAACACUGCUCUUGGAUCACUGGAAGGGUCCCAGAUCUCAGUCUCUGGGAUAAUCUUUAACAAAGCUGUGAAAUGGGCUUCCUCACUGCACAAAAGCCAUGGUCACUGGCACCUACAGGCUCAUAUCCUCAUUUCCAGAGAGGAAGGGGCUCUUAUCUCUCAGCUCCAAACAGAAGUCCUGGGGAAGGACUCAGGAGGGUCCAGUUGGGCCCCCUGUUCACCCUUCAACCAGUUGUGAUCGCCAGAGCUUAGCGAGGGCUCGAUCCCUCUGAACUGGACUACAUGGUGACAGCAGGGGCAAGAGAGGUGGACCUCCAGAAGAAUGGAUGGAGGUAGCACAGGCACGACUUUGGGGAGAAGUCU